rnacentral:rRNA from 1 species
AUGUCCAAGAAGAUCGUGCUCAAGGUGGACAUCACCGCCGAGCGGUGCAAGGCCGGCGCCAUGAGCGUCGUCGCCAAGCUCCCAGGUAUCAAGUCGAUGGCGGUGGACGGCGAGAAGGGGACGCUGACCGUGGUGGGGGACGUCGACGUGGUGUGCAUUGCGAGCGCGCUGCGGAAGGCCAAGUUCACGGCGGUCGUCGUCAGCGUCGGGCCUGAGGUGGAGGAGAAGAAGCCCGAGCCGGCCAAGAAGCCCGACGAACCAAAGAAGUCUGAAACACCCAAGCCGGCGCCGCCCUGCUGCUGCUCCGGCCCCGGCAAUGCGUGCUGUCCCCGGCCGAUGCCGCCGUACCCUGGCGCGGCCAUCGUGUGCUACGAGGAGGAGCCUGACGGCCAUUGCAUCAUCGUGUGA